rnacentral:rRNA from 1 species
UGGGGAAUUCUGGACAAUGGGCGAAAGCCUGAUCCAGCAAUGCCGCGUGAGUGAAGAAGGCCUUCGGGUUGUAAAGCUCUUUUGUCAGGGAAGAAACGGUGAGAGCUAGUAUCUUUUGCUAAUGACGGUACCUGAAGAAUAAGCACCGGCUAACUACGUGCCAGCAGCCGCGGUAAUACGUAGGGUGCAAGCGUUAAUCGGAAUCACUGGGCGUAAAGCGUGCGCAGGCGGUUUUGUAAGUCUGAUGUGAAAUCCCCGGGCUCAACCUGGGAAUUGCAUUGGAGACUGCAAGGCUAGAAUCUGGCAGAGGGGGGCAGAAUUCCACGCGUAGCAGUGAAAUGCGUAGAUAUGUGGAGGAACACCGAUGGCGAAGGCAGCCCCCUGGGUCGAGAUUGACGCUCAUGCACGAAAGCGUGGGGAGCAAACAGGAUUAGAUACCCUGGUAGUCCACGCCCUAAACGAUGUCUACUAGUUGUCGGGUCUUAAUUGACUUGGUAACGCAGCUAACGCGUGAAGUAGACCGCCUGGGGAGUACGGUCGCAAGAUUAAA